UGAAGGGAGGCAGAUCAGGAGCAGGAAAGAACCCAGGAACACAGACGCCCAUCUAUACACUGCUGCUCCAGGCCAGGAAGCAGCAGGAGAAGGUUUUCUUACAUGAAGGGAGGCAGAUCAGGAGCAGGAAAGAACCCAGGAACACAGACGCCCAUCUAUACACUGCUGCUCCAGGCCAGGAAGCAGCAGGAGAAGGUUUUCUUACAUGAAGGGAGGCAGAUCAGGAGCAGGAAAGAACCCAGGAACACAGACACCCAUCUAUACACUGCUGCUCCAGGCCAGGAAGCAGCAGGAGAAGGUUUUCUUACAUGAAGGGAGGCAGAUCAGGAGCAGGAAAGAACCCAGGAACACAGACGCCCAUCUAUACACUGCUGCUCCAGGCCAGGAAGCAGAAAAAGUAGGUUUUCUUACAUGAAGGGAGGCAGAUCAGGAGCAGGAAAGAACCCAGGAACACAGACGCCCAUCUAUACACUGCUGCUCCAGGCCAGGAAGCAGAAAAAGAAGGUUUUCUUACAUGAAGGGAAGCAGAUCAGGAGCAGGAAAGAACCCAGGAACACAGACGCCCAUCUAUACACUGCUGCUCCAGGCCAGGAAGCAGAAAAAGAAGGUUUUCUUACAUGAAGGGAAGCAGAUCAGGAGCAGGAAAGAACCCAGGAACACAGACGCCCAUCUAUACACUGCUGCUCCAGGCCAGGAAGCAGAAAAAGAAGGUUUUCUUACAUGAAGGGAAGCAGAUCAGGAG